CAUCUCUCACGCUGAAACCCUAAGAUGCUCAAGCGAAAUUGAACAAUCUCUCACUCGAACUCGUCCUCUCUCUCUCACACUCGUUCUCUCGAACUCCUCAUCUCAGAUUCGCUCAAACUUCAUCGUCUUCUUCAGGUUCUCCAGAUUCGUUCAAGCUUCAGAUUAUUUCAAGGAUUUAUGCAAAGUGAGUGUGUGGAAGAGUGAAGCAACCAAGCAGACUUAGGUUAGUUCAAUUGAGGCUUCUCAACAAUAACUAUAAUAAUUGCCAGGAAGUUUGGAUUACCGUGUUACGGAGGAAAGUUUGAUGGAUCGCGUAGGUACAAAUAUGCAUGAAGCAUGCCUGCAGAUUGACAAAGAAUGCAGGUUAGUGGAAAAGCUGUUUGAUCUCUCCUGCUGCAGCCUUUUGUUUAUAGUUUCAUUUCUUUAUUCAUCAAGUUAUUGAACAUCAAUGUGGAUGUUAGAGUUUCACAAAAGUAUUUGUAAAACUGAAGCAAUCAAAAGCAUGAUAUCUCUCUUUUAUUCAUCAGGUUCUUUAGGAAGUGUAUUGUGAUUUUGUUAGUUUUAUGUGUGUAAUUACUUAUUGAUUAAUCAAAAGCAUGAUAUCUCUCUUCUAUUCA